rnacentral:rRNA from 1 species
GAUGAACGCUAGCGACAGGCCUAACACAUGCAAGUCGAGGGGUAACAGAUAUAAAGCUUGCUUUAUAUGCUGACGACCGGCGCACGGGUGAGUAACACGUAUGCAACCUACCUUUUACAGGAGAAUAACCCAGAGAAAUUUGGACUAAUACUCCAUAACGUUUAUUAAUCGCAUGAUUAAUAAAUUAAAGCUCCGGCGGUAAAAGAUGGGCAUGCGUCCUAUUAGUUAGUUGGUAAGGUAACGGCUUACCAAGACUAUGAUAGGUAGGGGUUCUGAGAGGACAAUCCCCCACAUUGGUACUGAGACACGGACCAAACUCCUACGGGAGGCAGCAGUGAGGAAUAUUGGUCAAUGGCCGCAAGGCUGAACCAGCCAUGUCGCGUGAAGGAUGACUGCCCUAUGGGUUGUAAACUUCUUUUGUAUGGGAAGAAAGGUGUCUACGUGUAGACAUUUGCCGGUACCAUACGAAUAAGGAUCGGCUAACUCCGUGCCAGCAGCCGCGGUAAUACGGAGGAUCCAAGCGUUAUCCGGAUUUAUUGGGUUUAAAGGGUGCGUAGGUGGCUGUAUAAGUCAGUAGUGAAAUCUCGGAGCUCAACUCCGAACGUGCUAUUGAAACUGUACAGCUUGAAUUCAGACGAGGCAGGCGGAAUGUGUAAUGUAGCGGUGAAAUGCAUAGAUAUUACACAGAACACCGAUAGCGAAGGCAGCUUGCCAGACUGCGAUUGACACUAAUGCACGAAAGCGUGGGUAGCGAACAGG